rnacentral:rRNA from 1 species
CUGCAGCUAGCAUUGAUGAGUCGUUCAGUGAGCAAUCGACACCACUGACUGAACGUCUGAGUUCUCACCGCACGUCAUUCCUUUGGUAAUCUCCGCCAUCAGGCUGAAGGCUGACCGAGCAAAUGGAGAAUGAUGAUGAUUGUCAAGAUCUGUAAAUCUGUGUUAUCAGAGAAAGAAUCAACGCUGAAGCAGACUGUGCACGUCUCGACCGCUCCUAAUCAGAUACGCCCACAGCUAACUACGUGCCAGCAGCCGCGGUAAUACGUAGGUGUCAAGCGUUAUCCUGUAUUAUUGGGCGUAAAGCGCGCGUAGGCGUUUUUUUAAGUCUGAUGUGAAAGCCCACGGCUCAACCGUGGAGUGUCAUUGGAAACUGGAAAACUCGAGUGCAGAAGAGGAAAGUGGAAUUCCAUGUGUAGCGGUGAAAUGCGCAGAGAUAUGGAGGAACACCAGUGGCGAAGGCGACUUUCUGGUCUGUAACUGACGCUGAUGUGCGAAAGCGUGGGGAUCAAACAGGAUUAGAUACCCUGGUAGUCCACGCCGUAAACGAUGAGUGCUAAGUGUUAGGGGGUUUCCGCCCCUUAGUGCUGCAGCUAACGCAUUAAGCACUCCGCCUGGGGAGUACGACCGCAAGGUUGAAACUCAAAGGAAUUGACGGGGACCCGCACAAGCGGUGGAGCAUGUGGUUUAAUUCGAAGCAACGCGAAGAACCUUACCAAAUCUUGACAUCCUUUGACCGCUCUAGAGAUAGAGUUUUCCCCUUCGGGGGACAAAGUGACAGGUGGUGCAUGGUUGUCGUCAGCUCGUGUCGUGAGAUGUUGGGUUAAGUCCCGCAACGAGCGCAACCCUUAAGCUUAGUUGCCAUCAUUUAGUUGGGCACUCUAAGUUGACUGCCGGUGACAAACCGGAGGAAGGUGGGGAUGACGUCAAAUCAUCAUGCCCCUUAUGAUUUGGGCUACACACGUGCUACAAUGGACAAUACAAAGGGCAGCGAAACCGCGAGGUCAAGCAAAUCCCAUAAAGUUGUUCUCAGUUCGGAUUGUAGUCUGCAACUCGACUACAUGAAGCUGGAAUCGCUAGUAAUCGUAGAUCAGCAUGCUACGGUGAAUACGUUCCCGGGUCUUGUACACACCGCCCGUCACACCACGAGAGUUUGUAACACCCGAAGCCGGUGGAGUAACCAUUUGGAGCUAGCCGUCGAAGGUGGGACAAAUGAUUGGGGUGAAGUCGUAACAAGUUGGCCAUCCGAAGUGCGGCUGGUAAUACUCCUCCGUAGACAA